CACGCCCUAAACGAUGAUAACUCGAUGUGUGCGAUAUACAGUACGCGUCUAAGCGAAAGCAUUAAGUUAUCCACCUGGGAAGUACGACCGCAAGGUUGAAACUCAAAGGAAUUGACGGGGGCCCGCACAAGCGGAGGAGCAUGUGGUUUAAUUCGAUGAUACGCGAGGAACCUUACCAGGGCUUGAAAGUUAAGGAAUGAUGUAGAAAUAUGUCAGUCAGCAAUGACCUGAAACUAGGUGC
rnacentral:rRNA from 1 species